ensembl:miRNA Y73B6A.17 ncRNA
AGAGAUCAGGCAAUAGGUUCAAA